rnacentral:rRNA from 1 species
UACAGAGGUGGCAAGCGUUGUUCGGAAUUACUGGGCGUAAAGGGCGCGUAGGCGGCCUGUUAAGUCGAACGUGAAAUCCCCGGGCUCAACCCGGGAACUGCGUCCGAUACUGGCAGGCUUGAAUCCGGGAGAGGGAUGUGGAAUUCCAGGUGUAGCGGUGAAAUGCGUAGAUAUCUGGAGGAACACCGGUGGCGAAGGCGGCAUCCUGGACCGGUAUUGACGCUGAGGCGCGAAAGCCAGGGGAGCAAACGGG